rnacentral:rRNA from 1 species
UACGUAGGGGGCAAGCGUUGUCCGGAAUCAUUGGGCGUAAAGAGCGUGUAGGUGGCUCGGUAAGUCCGCUGUGAAAGUCCAGGGCUCAACCCUGGAAUGCCGGUGGAAACUGUCGAGCUCGAGUCCGGAAGAGGCGAGUGGAAUUCCUGGUGUAGUGGUGAAAUGCGUAGAUAUCCGGAGGAACACCAGUGGCGAAAGCGGCCACCUGGACUGUACCUGACGCUCAAACGCGAAAGCUAGGGGAGCGAACGGG